UGAUGGCUUGUUUUUAUUUUUUUAAAUUCAUAAUUAAAUAUUUUAAAACUUAUUUUAUAAUUAUUUUUAAAAAUUUGAUAUAAAUAAAAUAAUAAUUAUUUAACAUAAUUAUAAAUAAAAAAAUAAUUAUAUUAUUUUAAAAAUUUAAAUUAUUUAACAUAAUUUUUUUGUAGGAAAUUAAAUGAGCAUAUCUAUUAAUAGUGGAUGUCUGUUAAGUAAUUGAAAUAUGAAAUAGAUCAAAAUAAACUAUUCUCCAUAUUCAUAUUAAAGUGAAAUGGCUAAAAGAUCACAAGGAUAGCCAAGAGGAAGGGGUGCAAAUAAGCAAGAGUUAAAGAAAGA
rnacentral:lncRNA from 1 species